GCCAGUUUGGUGUAGUGGCUUGAAUGUUGAAUUGGGAGUCUGGAGGUCAGGGUUCGAUUCCCUGCUCAGCCA